rnacentral:rRNA from 1 species
UGAGUANCNCGAUAGCCAACCUGCCGUCUACUNCUUGNACUGCGCGUUCUGAAAGGAAGAUUAANACAUAGAUGGCAUCAUGAGUCCGCAUGUUCACAUGAUUAAAGGUAUUCCGGUAGACGAUGGGGAUGCGUUCCAUUAGAUAGUAGGCGGGGUAACGGCCCACCUAGUCUUCGAUGGAUAGGGGUUCUGAGAGGAAGGUCCCCCACAUUGGAACUGAGACACGGUCCAAACUCAUACGGGAGGCAGCAGUGAGGAAUAUUGGUCAAUGGGCGAGAGCCUGAACCAGCCAAGUAGCGUGAAGGAUGACUGCCCUAUGGGUUGUAAACUUCUUUUAUAAAGGAAUAAAGUCGGGUAUGCAUACCCGUUUGCAUGUACUUUAUGAAUAAGGAUCGGCUAACUCCGUGCCAGCAGCCGCGGUAAUACGGAGGAUCCGAGCGUUAUCCGGAUUUAUUGGGUUUAAAGGGAGCGUAGAUGGAUGUUUAAGUCAGUUGUGAAAGUUUGCGGCUCAACCGUAAAAUUGCAGUUGAUACUGGAUAUCUUGAGUGCAGUUGAGGCAGGCGGAAUUUCGUGGUGUAGCGGUGAAAUGCUUAGAUAUCACGAAGAACUCCGAUUGCGAAGGCAGCCUGCUAAGCUGCAACUGACAUUGAGGCUCGAAAGUGUGGGUAUCAAACAGGAUUAGAUACCCUGGUAGUCCACACGGUAAACGAUGAAUACUCUCUGUUUGCGAUAUACGGCAAGCGGCCAAGCGAAAGCGUUUAAGUAUUCCACCUGGGGAGUACGCCGGCNAACGGUGAAACUCAAAAGGAAUUUGACNGGGGGCCCGCACAAGCGGAGGAACAUGUGGUUUAAUUCGANUGAUACNGCGAGGAACCUUACCCGGGCUUAAAUUGCAGAUGAAUUACGGUGAAAGCCGUAAGCCGCAAGGCAUCUGUGAAGGUGCUGCAUGGUUGUCGUCAGCUCGUGCCGUGAGGUGUCGGCUUAAGUGCCAUAACGAGCGCAACCCUUGUUGUCAGUUACUAACAGGUNAUGCUGAGGACUCUGACAAGACUGCCAUCGUAAGAUGUGAGGAAGGUGGGGAUGACGUCAAAUCAGCACGGCCCUUACGUCCGGGGCUACACACGUGUUACAAUGGGGGGUACAGAGGGCCGCUACCACGCGAGUGGAUGCCAAUCCCAAAAACCUCUCUCAGUUCGGACUGGAGUCUGCAACCCGACUCCACGAAGCUGGAUUCGCUAGUAAUCGCGCAUCAGCCACGGCGCGGUGAAUACGUUCCCGGGCCUUGUACACACCGCCCGUCAAGCCAUGGGAGCCGGGGGUACCUGAAGUGCGUAACC